GGCCCUACGGGGCGCAGCAGGCGCGAAACCUCCGCAAUGUGAGAAAUCGCGACGGGGGGAUCCCAAGUGCCAUUCUUAACGGGAUGGCUUUUCAUUAGUGUAAAGAGCUUUUGGAAUAAGAGCUGGGCAAGACCGGUGCCAGCCGCCGCGGUAACACCGGCAGCUCUAGUGGUAACAAUUUUUAU
rnacentral:rRNA from 1 species